rnacentral:rRNA from 1 species
CAGUAGCCGCGGUAAUACGGAGGGUGCAAGCGUUAAUCGGAAUUACUGGGCGUAAAGCGCACGCAGGCGGUCUGUCAAGUCGGAUGUGAAAUCCCCGGGCUCAACCUGGGAACUGCAUUCGAAACUGGCAGGCUAGAGUCUUGUAGAGGGGGGUAGAAUUCCAGGUGUAGCGGUGAAAUGCGUAGAGAUCUGGAGGAAUACCGGUGGCGAAGGCGGCCCCCUGGACAAAGACUGACGCUCAGGUGCGAAAGCGUGGGGAGCAAACAGGAUUAGAUACCCCUGUAGUCCCUGUCUCUUAUAU